rnacentral:rRNA from 1 species
GACGUAGGGCGCAAGCGUUGUCCGGAAUUAUUGGGCGUAAAGAGCUCGUAGGCGGCUUGUCGCGUCGUCCGUGAAAACCUGCGGCUCAACUGCAGGCUGGCGGUCGAUACGGGCAGGCUGGAGUUCGGUAGGGGAGACUGGAAUUCCUGGUGUAGCGGUGAAAUGCGCAGAUAUCAGGAGGAACACCGGUGGCGAAGGCGGGUCUCUGGACAGUUCCUGACACUGAGACACGAAGGCCAGGGGAGCAAACGGG